rnacentral:tRNA from 1 species
GGCUGGGUAGCUCAGUGGAUUGGGAGCCAAGCCUAGAGGUUGGAGGUCCUAGGUUCGAAUCCAGCCUCAGCCA